rnacentral:lncRNA from 1 species
AAUAGCCUGUGACAGAAGUGACAGGAGACCCCAUCCUGACCAAGACCUUAAGAGGCAUCCUAGUUUCCUCUCACUUUCACGAGCCUCUGCGGGGUUCAUCAUGAGAACAUAUCCCUAGAAACCACUGGACAAGGAGAACAAGAGAUGAAACUUUCCCAAGGUCUCUUGUCAUGCAUCUUGGACUGAAUAACAGGCAUCCCUGCCUUCACAUCUUCAUGGGAAGGCAACAAAACCUGAGGAAUACAACCUAGGAUCUCAAAAGCUUUUUUAGGAAUAAUGUCAUAUAUAAUAAAUAAUAGCAAGAAUGUUACAGCAUCUAUAGCUCUUUAAACUACCUCCCAAGGGAAAGACAAUGAGGGCUUAGUUCCUGUGUCUUUUAAACUUUAACUUUACGUGUAUUUUUUUGGACAUGUGCUGUCCAGUAUGGUAGCUACAAGCCACAUAUUGUUGUGAGGAUUAAAUGAGAAGAUGAAUGUAAUACCCUUGAGCACACAGCGUGGUACACCACAAAUGCUCAACCAACAGCAGCGAUGACAGUAUAGGCAACUACCACAAGAAAGAAUUUGAACAUGUCCCAAUUCGAAUUUUGAUUCCUAAUCAAGAUCUAGUGAAUUUAACCUAAGUAGCAGAAAAGAAGAUUAAGAGUUCCUUUCCACAGCUUUAUUAAGUUUUUAUAUUCACCUGGAUGUUGUCAAAAGUGACUUGAUCAUUCAAGAGAUAGGGGACAUUUGGCUUCCGGUUUGUGUGAGAGCUUUUCUUUCCCCAUCAGCUCAACAGUCAGUCCCCAGAUCUAGAGAUGGAGAGCUUGGGACAAGGUCAGAAUGAAACAUCACCAGUCAAUCCUGCUCAACAGGUAACUCUUGCAGCAAUCCUUAAGGAAAGGGGUGCAGGGUCUCUUCAUGUUUCCAUGGUAAGGUCUAUAGCUGCUGCUUCAUGGAAUAAGCAAACAAAGCCCAUGUUGUGUGACGGGUGGCAACACUUUCAGACUUGGAUCCUGCACAUUCUGAUGUGUAAAUUCCACGAUAGGGCAAAAGCAUGCCACUCCACACUAAUGCUGCCCUCUCACUAAAUUAAACCUUGGAAAAAUAAGAUGUGGCUUGGCUUUAAAACUCAGUGAACUAUCUUUAUGGUACAGUUGGUUUCCAUAGCUGUAAACACAAAAGAUCUAUGGUUUCUGCCUACCCAGGAUAGUCUUGUCUCUAGACAAUGUAUUGAUGAUGCAAAUGUUCUGGAACUAAAUAGUGGUGAUGGUGGCACAACACUGUGAAUGUACUAAAUGUCACUGAUUUGUACGUAUUUAAUAUGAAUUAAAUGUUAAAAUGGUGAAUUAUAUUUAUGUAUAUUUUACCAUAAUAAAAAUAUGCAUUGGAAGAUGCAUUUUUUGUGAC